AGUAAUCCACUGGGGUACGCUUCCGCGCUGUGGAGAGUAUGUUCUUUUGCUCUUCACAGUAAAUCUUGCUAAUGCUCACUUUUUGGGUCCACACUACUUUUAUGAACUGUAACACUCACUGCGAAGGUCUUUAGCUUAACUCCUGAAGCCAGCAAGACCACGAAUCCUCUGGGAGGCAUGAACAACUCCUGACCCGCCACCUUAAAGAGCUGUAACACUCACUGUGAAGGUCUGCGGCUUCACUCCUGAAGUCAGCGAGACCACGAACGCACCAGAAGGAAGAAACUCCCCACACAUGUGAACAUCUGAAGGAACAAACUCCCGACACUCCAUCUUCAAGAACUGUAACACUCACCGUGAGGGUCUGCAGCUUCAUUCUUGAAGUCAGCAAGACCAAGAACCCACCAGAAGAAACCAAUUCCGGCCACAGUGUCUCCUUGGCUUACUGUGGAAAAACUCAAGGGGAGAUUAUUCUCUGAAAAAUCUUACCAGAGAAAAGAAAAUCAGACAAAUGAUGUGCUCUCAUUUAUUCUUCACUUUAAUCCUAAAGAGGUGAAAAUCUGACAGCUCAAAAUGAAGCAAAAACCCAAGAUUAAAACAGACACCAUUUUGUGCCCACUCAGUCUUCUUUCCAGGGUCAUACAUGUCUGAAAAUAUUCCUGCUGAAACAGCCUGCACCAUUCCAUUCUCUACACUAGCGGUUCUCAGAUUAGAGAGUGAAUGAGAUCGCAUGAAGGACUUGCUAAAACAUGGAUUGCUGUGUCAAAGGUGAGUGGGAUGGUUAAUAUUAGGUGUCAACUUGAUUGAAGGAUGCCUAAAUGCCUGGUAAAGUAUUGUUUCUAGGUGCUUCUAUGAGGGUGUUGCCAGAGGAGAUUGACAUUGGAGUCGGUGGACUGAGAGAGGGAGACCCACCCUCAAUGUGGGUGGGUACCACCCAAUCAACUGCUACUGUGGCUAGAACAAAGCAGGCAGAAGAAGGUGGCAUAACUUUGCUUGCUGAGUCUCUUUUUUCCCCAUGCUGGAUGCUUCCUUCCACUUCUUCUGCCCUUGAAUAUCAAUCACACUCCAGGUUCUUUGGUCUUUGGACUCUGGGACUUGCACCAGCAGCCUACUGGUAGCUCUAGGGACCCUCCGCCACAGACAGAAGGCUGCACUGUCUGCUUCCAUGGUUUUGAGGCCUUCGGAGUUGGACUGGGCCACUACCAGCUUCUCUCUUCCCCAGCUUGCAGACAGCCUAUCAUGGGACUUCACCUUGUAAUUGUGUGAGCCAGUUCCCCCUAAUAAACUCCCUCUCAUACGUACAUAUAUCCUAUUGGUUCUGUGCCUCUGAACAGCCAUGACUAAUACAGGAGGUCUGUGGCACCUGAGAAUUCUCUCUUCUGACAAGUUUCCAAUUGAUGCUGAUGCUGAUGAUGCAGGGACCACACUUUGAGAACCACAGCUCUGCAGAAUAAUUCUCCGAAACAUAAAUAUUAAUAUAACACUCAUCCAAUUAAAAUACAUUAGUACUGUCCCAGACCCUUCAAAA
rnacentral:lncRNA from 1 species